AAAGGCCUUAUUUGAUUCAAUUUUACAAAAAUAAGAACUCAAUUGAGACGUCGAAAAAGAAAAGGACCUAUCUGAGAUUCUGGACAAAAAUAAAGAUAUAUUGAGACAUUAAACCGAAAAAAUAAUUAAAAUACGUUCCUUUCUUCAUUUUUCCCAAAUAUUUUUAAUAACAAAAUCAUGAUCCUUUCUUAAUUUUUCCAAUCAUUUUUUAAUAACA
rnacentral:lncRNA from 1 species